rnacentral:rRNA from 1 species
CGUAUAGGGUGUGACGCCUGCCCGGUGCCGGAAGGUUAAUUGAUGGGGUUAGCGCAAGCGAAGCUCUUGAUCGAAGCCCCGGUAAACGGCGGCCGUAACUAUAACGGUCCUAAGGUAGCGAAAUUCCUUGUCGGGUAAGUUCCGACCUGCACGAAUGGCGUAACGAUGGCGGCGCUGUCUCCACCCGAGACUCAGUGAAAUUGAAAUCGCUGUGAAGAUGCAGUGUAUCCGCGGCUAGACGGAAAGACCCCGUGAACCUUUACUGUAGCUUUGCACUGGACUUUGAGCCUGCUUGUGUAGGAUAGGUGGGAGGCUUUGAAGCGUGGACGCCAGUUCGCGUGGAGCCAUCCUUGAAAUACCACCCUGGCAUGCUUGAGGUUCUAACUCUGGUCCGUAAUCCGGAUCGAGGACAGUGUAUGGUGGGCAGUUUGACUGGGGCGGUCUCCUCCUAAAGAGUAACGGAGGAGUACGAAGGUGCGCUCAGACCGGUCGGAAAUCGGUCGCAGAGUAUAAAGGCAAAAGCGCGCUUGACUGCGAGACAGACACGUCGAGCAGGUACGAAAGUAGGUCUUAGUGAUCCGGUGGUUCUGUAUGGAAGGGCCAUCGCUCAACGGAUAAAAGGUACUCCGGGGAUAACAGGCUGAUACCGCCCAAGAGUUCAUAUCGACGGCGGUGUUUGGCACCUCGAUGUCGGCUCAUCACAUCCUGGGGCUGAAGCCGGUCCCAAGGGUAUGGCUGUUCGCCAUUUAAAGUGGUACGCGAGCUGGGUUUAGAACGUCGUGAGACAGUUCGGUCCCUAUCUGCCGUGGACGUUUGAGAUUUGAGAGGGGCUGCUCCUAGUACGAGAGGACCGGAGUGGACGAACCUCUGGUGUUCCGGUUGUCACGCCAGUGGCAUUGCCGGGUAGCUAUGUUCGGAAAAGAUAACCGCUGAAAGCAUCUAAGCGGGAAACUUGCCUCAAGAUGAGAUCUCACUGGGAACUUGAUUCCCCUGAAGGGCCGUCGAAGACUACGACGUUGAUAGGCUGGGUGUGUAAGCGUUGUGAGGCGUUGAGCUAACCAGUACUAAUUGCCCGUGAGGCUUGACCAU